AGAGUUUGAUCCUGGCUCAGGAUGAACGCUGGCGGCGUGCUUAACACAUGCAAGUCGAACGAACCUUUCGGGUUAGUGGCGGACGGGUGAGUAACGCGUGAGAAUCUGCCCUCAGGAGGGGGAUAACGGUUGGAAACGACCGCUAAUACCCCAUAUGCCGAGAGGUGAAAUGAAUUUCGCCUGAGGAUGAGCUCGCGUCUGAUUAGUUAGUUGGUGGGGUAAUGGCCUACCAAGACAUCGAUCAGUAGCUGGUCUGAGAGGAUGAUCAGCCACACUGGGACUGAGACACGGCCCAGACUCCUACGGGAGGCAGCAGUGGGGAAUUUUCCGCAAUGGGCGAAAGCCUGACGGAGCAACGCCGCGUGAGGGAUGAAGGCCUCUGGGCUGUAAACCUCUUUUAUCAAGGAAGAAGAUCUGACGGUACUUGAUGAAUAAGCCACGGCUAAUUCCGUGCCAGCAGCCGCGGUAAUACGGGAGUGGCAAGCGUUAUCCGGAAUUAUUGGGCGUAAAGCGUCCGCAGGCGGUCUGUCAAGUCUGCUGUUAAAGCGUGGAGCUUAACUCCAUUUCGGCAGUGGAAACUGACAGACUAGAGUGUGGUAGGGGCAGAGGGAAUUCCCGGUGUAGCGGUGAAAUGCGUAGAUAUCGGGAAGAACACCAGUGGCGAAGGCGCUCUGCUGGGCCAUAACUGACGCUCAUGGACGAAAGCCAGGGGAGCGAAAGGGAUUAGAUACCCCUGUAGUCCUGGCCGUAAACGAUGAACACUAGGUGUCGGGGGAAUCGACCCCCUCGGUGUCGUAGCCAACGCGUUAAGUGUUCCGCCUGGGGAGUACGCACGCAAGUGUGAAACUCAAAGGAAUUGACGG
rnacentral:rRNA from 1 species